rnacentral:lncRNA from 10 species
CUGUCCUUUGUGCAGGGCGGUACCAUUCGAUCUUGCCAGCUCUCCUUCAGGGAGCGCCCGCUAUGUGCCAGGCGCCGUGCCAAGCCUGAUCUCCCGUAGUCCUCACAGACCCUCCGCGCAACGAGAGAUCUGUUGUCCCAGGGUGAGGAAGCAAAGGCACAGAAGAGCUGAAGCGAUUUGCCCACAGUCACAAGGGCACUGGACUUUAAGGGCCAAGAGUGAAGACCAUUUUGUCCUGUUCUCUGGCACACAGUAGGCACUCGACAACUAUUUCAAAACUAAAGGAAUAAGCAAGUGGCCUCAUGGCUACUGAGGACAGAGUCUGGAACUGAAUGCAGGGCACUCUGAAGCUGGAGCUCACUUCUACAUUAUUGCCUUUCUCAUGCUACUAGCAGGCACUGAAUGUGUCAGUGAGUGAAUGAAUGAAACCAAGAUCUCAGGAUCCCAGUCAAGUGCUCCCUGAGUUUCAUUUCCUGGUAGUGUGGACAUGAG